UACGUAGGCAGCGAGCGUUGUUCGGAAUUACUGGGCGUAAAGAGUGUGUAGGCGGUGCUCUAAGUUCGGUGUGAAAUCUCCUGGCUCAACUGGGAGGGUGCGCCGGAAACUGGAGUGCUUGAGCGUGGGAGAGGAAAGCGGAAUUCCUGGUGUAGCGGUGAAAUGCGCAGAUAUCAGGAGGAACACCAAUGGCGAAGGCAGCUCGCUGGGACGUGACUGACGCUGAGACGCGAAAGCGUGGGGAGCGAACAGG
rnacentral:rRNA from 1 species